AGACAGGUGUUACAGACAGGUGUUACAGCACCCUGAGACAGGUGUUACAGACAGGUGUUACAGCACCCUGAGACAGGUGUUACAGCGCUGAGACAGGUGUGGCACUCACAGGUAAACACGUUUA